rnacentral:rRNA from 1 species
GCGGACGGGUGAGUAAUGCCUAGGAAUCUGCCUGGUAGUGGGGGACAACGUUUCGAAAGGAACGCUAAUACCGCAUACGUCCUACGGGAGAAAGCAGGGGACCUUCGGGCCUUGCGCUAUCAGAUGAGCCUAGGUCGGAUUAGCUAGUUGGUGGGGUAAUGGCUCACCAAGGCGACGAUCCGUAACUGGUCUGAGAGGAUGAUCAGUCACACUGGAACUGAGACACGGUCCAGACUCCUACGGGAGGCAGCAGUGGGGAAUAUUGGACAAUGGGCGAAAGCCUGAUCCAGCCAUGCCGCGUGUGUGAAGAAGGUCUUCGGAUUGUAAAGCACUUUAAGUUGGGAGGAAGGGCAGUAAGCUAAUACCUUGCUGUUUUGACGUUACCGACAGAAUAAGCACCGGCUAACUCUGUGCCAGCAGCCGCGGUAAUACAGAGGGUGCAAGCGUUAAUCGGAAUUACUGGGCGUAAAGCGCGCGUAGGUGGUUUGUUAAGUUGGAUGUGAAAGCCCCGGGCUCAACCUGGGAACUGCAUCCAAAACUGGCAGGCUAGA